GACGAACCGUGCGAACGUUAUUCGGAUUCACUGGGCUUAAAGCGCGUGUAGGCGGCCCGACACGUCCGACGCUGAAAUCCCUCGGCUCAACCGAGGAACGGGCGCGGAUACGAUCGGGCUCGAGGCCGGUAGGGGGAGUCGGAACUUCCGGUGGAGCGGUGAAAUGCGUUGAGAUCGGAAGGAACGCCCGUGGCGAAAGCGGACUCCUGGACCGGACCUGACGCUGAGACGCGAAAGCUAGGGGAGCAAACGGG
rnacentral:rRNA from 1 species